UACAGAGGUGGCAAGCGUUGUUCGGAAUUACUGGGCGUAAAGGGCGCGUAGGCGGUCUUGUCAGUCCCUUGUGAAAUCCCCCGGCUCAACUGGGGAACUGCACGGGAAACAGCAGGGCUUGAGUUCGGGAGAGGGAAGCGGAAUUCCGGGUGUAGCGGUGAAAUGCGUAGAUAUCCGGAGGAACACCAAUGGCGAAGGCAGCUCGCUGGGACGUUACUGACGCUGAGACGCGAAAGCGUGGGGAGCAAACAGG
rnacentral:rRNA from 1 species